CAGGACCCAGGGUGGCUGGGUGGAGGGGCUGUAAAAAAGUCCCCGCUGGUGAUUUGGGGACUAGGGAGGCUCAGGUGUGGGAGCUGAUCACCACCAUUUCUAGGCCCUCAGGAGGGCCCUGUUCAGUGUCUCGGUGUUGCUGGGUGGACCCUGGUGGGGUGACAACAGGGUCCGAGUGUCUGGACUCCAUUCUCUCUGCUUCCUCUGUCCACGUUUUAGGGAUGCCCUAUUCAAUGAGCCCUUUCUCUCUCUCUUUCUUUUUGUUUUUUUUCUUUUUCUAACAGUGUUUCCAGGGAAGGGCUCAUAUUCCCCACACCAGGGGCUGAGAGGGUAGAUGUUUCUGGGUAAAUCAUUUGAAAAUCAAGCAGAUCCAACAUAUUUGCUGUCUCCAAUUAGACUGAGCUCCCUGGGAGGGGCCCCCAAAGGGCUCCUGAAUGGCUCUGUGCUGCCUGGCAUUAGGAGUGAGGGGCAUGGCCUGACAUUGGGAGGACAGGUGUGUGAACAAGUGCAACCUAUGGGGAGGCAAUUUACCCACAGCCCAGCACGGACAGCGGCAGAUCCUCGUGCGCAGCGGUUCUCCUCCGAGGAUUCUUGCUGACUGAGGCACUGGCACAGGGGCACACAGGCAUGUAUGUGCCAAAGGCAUGACCCACGCCGCACGUUGAUUACAGCAGAGACAGAGCAGCCUCAUGUCUGUUGGUGGGGAGUUGUCGAGGACAACCUAGUCCCCAUGAACUGACAGCUCAUGUGCAAAAAGAGUGGUGGCUCCAUCCAGGUGGACACAGAACAGCUUUCAAGAGAAAUCAGAAGGGCCGGACAUGGAGGCUCACGCCUAUAAUUCCAGCACUUUGGGAGACUGAGGCGGGCAGAUCACCUGAGGUCAGGAGUUCAAGACCAGCCCAGCCAACGUGACAAAACCCUGUCUCUACUGAAAAUACAAAAAUUAGCCAGGCGUGGUGAUGGGCACCUGUAAUCCCAGCUACUUGGGUGACUGAGACACGAGAAUCGCUUGAAUCCAGGAGGUGGAGGUUUGCAGUGAGUUGAGAUCGCGCCAGUGCACUCCAAUCUGGAAGACAGAACAAGACUGUGUCUCAAAAACAAAAAAAAA
rnacentral:lncRNA from 1 species